GAUCCUGGCUACGAGAACGAACGCUGGCGGCAGGCCUAACACAUGCAAGUCGAGCGCCCCGCAAGGGGAGCGGCGGACGGGUGAGUAACACGUGGGAAUUUUCCUCAAGGUACGGAACAACUCAGGGAAACUUGGGCUAAUACCGUAUGAUGCAGAGAUGCCAAAGAUUUAUCGCCUUGGGAUAAGCCCGCGUCAGAUUAGGUAGUUGGUGGGGUAAUGGCCUACCAAGCCUGUGAUCUGUAGCUGGUCUGAGAGGACGAUCAGCCACAUUGGGACUGAGACACGGCCCAAACUCCUACGGGAGGCAGCAGUGGGGAAUCUUGCGCAAUGGACGAAAGUCUGACGCAGCCAUGCCGCGUGAAUGAUGAAGGUCUUAGGAUUGUAAAGUUCUUUAGCCUGUGACGAUGAUGACGGUAACAGGAGAAUAAGCCCCGGCUAACUUCGUG
rnacentral:rRNA from 1 species